UACGGGGGGAGCAAGCGUUGUUCGGAUUUACUGGGCGUAAAGGGCGCGUAGGCGGUCAGCACAAGUCAGUUGUGAAAUCUCCGGGCUUAACUCGGAAAGGUCAACUGAUACUGUGCGACUAGAGUGCGGAAGGAGCAACUGGAAUUCUCGGUGUAGCGGUGAAAUGCGUAGAUAUCGAGAGGAACACCUGCGGCGAAGGCGGGUUGCUGGGCCGACACUGACGCUGAUGCGCGAAAGCCAGGGGAGCGAACGGG
rnacentral:rRNA from 1 species